rnacentral:lncRNA from 1 species
AUGAAUGGGACUCCCCUCCCCCAUGGGGGGGGGGUCCCCGCGGCCGCGCAGGUUCGCCCAGCCAGCCCCGGGCCCGGAAGACAAAAGCGGCACCGGGAGGGACCAACGGAGCGCUCCCUACCCCCACCCCCCUCGCCAAAACUUACCGAUCACCUCCCCCUCCCCAAAACAAAGAAGCCUCCCCUUACCCCCAGCUCCAGUCUCCGCCCGCCCCUCCAACCCCCGACGCGCCGGCACCACUUUGGGGGAGCGGCCCCAUCGGGGUAUUGUUCAGCCUGCAGGGAGCGCGCGCAACACCCCAGCCCGAUCCCCGGGGGGACACUUGGGGAAGCUGGGCCCCCUCCCUCCACCGCACCCCCACCCCCCUACCAGAGACGGGGGUCCCCGAGCGGGCGGCCGGCCGGCCUGACCCCCUCAGAGGGCGGGAAUGAGCCGGGCCCGGGCCUCACCCCUACCCUGAGCGAGAGAAGUUUCCGCAGCGCGCCCGGCCCGGGCCGAGCCCCGCGCGCACACUUACCUCGCCCUGAGCCGCGCAACUUGUGUCCGGCGCCGCCGCUCCAAGCCUGCGCCCCGCCGGCCGCCGCCGCCGCCGCCGAGCCCGGGCCGCGCCGCGGCAGCCGAGGGCCCGGCGCCCGAAGCCGCCGCGCGCCGCCCCCCCGGGCCGCCCCCGCCCCGCGCCCGCGUCCCCCGCCGCCGCCGAGUCCCCGAGACGCGCGGGCGCUGGAAAGUUUCGGGUGCCGAAUGGCGGCGAGGGCGCUGCGGCGGCGGCGGCGGCGGCGGGGCGGGGGCGCGGGCGGCUCCUCGCUCCCGAGCGCGGAGGACGGGGCGGGCGGGGAGGGGGGGAAAACGGCGGCGGCGGGAGAGGGCGGGACGCGGGAGGGACCGGCGCGGCCAGUGACCUCCGCUGGGGAGCGGCCGCCGGAACGCCGACCCCGGCCGGGAGGACGGCCCUGGGCGCCGCCCCCAGCCUGCGCCCGCCCCCGCCGCCGCCGCCGCCGCCGCCGCCGGGGGAGGGGAGCCCGGGGCCCCAGCGCGCUCCCCGACCCGGGACCCCCCCAUCGCCCUCCCCCCAUCACCCUCCACAGCCCCCAGCCUGCGCCCUCCCCCACCGCCCGGGGCCCUUGCGCGCUCCCCCACCCGGGCCUCCCCAUCGCCCACCCCCACGGCCCCCAGCCUGCGCCCGACCCCGCCGCAGGGAAAGGGGACCCCGGGGCCCCUGCACCCUCCCCCACCCCCAAAGAGGCCUCGUCCCAGGCCAGCCCCUCCCCCAGGACCCCCAGCCCGCCCCCUCCCCCACCGCCGGGGGAGGGGAGCCCGGGUCCUCUGCAACCUCCCCCCACCCGCGUACCCCCUCCCCACCCCCCAGACCCUCCCCCACGCCCAAAGGGGCCGCGUCCAGGCCAGCACCCCUCCCCCACGGCCUCCAGUGUGCCCCCUCCCCCACACACCCCGGCCUGCCCUUCCCCCACGGUGCAGGCGGUAAGAGCCCGGGCCCCUCCCCCAUGGCCUCUAGGGGGGCGGUAG